UUGUAUUUUUGGACUUGACGUACCUUUCUGAAAAUUGAAAGUUUGCAACACUGCAGUGUGCUGGUUCAAGUUGAAAUAAACACAUGCAUAUCACACAGCUAGUGGGAUUUUUGACCAGGUACCCCCCACAAAAUUCAAACACCUGCACAUAAAGAAACUUUAAAAGUUGGAAGUUUUAUCUACUCGAAGGUAAAGGAUGACAAAGCUAGAGUUAUCCAGACGUUACUGUUUGUAGCGGACAGUACAAAGAUGUAAGAUAAUAGGAAUCCAAUGACAGCCGUUCUUGUUGCUGAAAUGGAGUUGACCUUCCUCUUGAUUAUGUCCACGCAGCACAUUAAUUUGCUCCUUUGUGAAUAAUUUGGUUCAUAUGUACCAUACCUUAACAAAAGACUAAAACAAUCAUGAAACAAUUUGUUGAGAAGAACAAACUUUUUUAGUUUUAAGCAUGGGAGUCACUAAAGGUUCUGAAAUCUUUGGUGGACACCAAGUUGCUUUUUUAGUAGUAGGAUUGUCAAGUUUGUGCACAUCUCAAGAAUGGAGAGCCACAGGAUUGUAUUGUUUGGAUCAUCCUGUAUUCUUUAUGAAUA